rnacentral:lncRNA from 1 species
CCUGAAGAGAAAAAAGAUGACUGGUGCCUGUCCUGUUUUGUUUCAGACACAAAAGCAAGUGACGCCUUGGAACCAGAUCAAAGAGGGCUCCAAGUGCAUGCUGCACAGAGCAGGCAGUGACCCUGGAAGGUUCGAUGUCCCUGGGAACAUUCCCACUUUAAGUUGGACAGACCUUGAAGCACAUCUGCGCCAGCAUUUGCACGUUCAUGUCUCCCUUACAUGCCUUUCCUCCUGUUUGUUUGAGCUUAACAGAAGGAAUGGCAGAAGUUUGCCCAAAUAAGGUACAUGGGCAGACACCUGAGGCUUUCAACACCUGUUUUAACAAAGAAGAAGAACCCAUCAAGUCAAUUUUUCUGAUCCAGCAAACAGCAUAGGUCUGGGAGUCAAAAAGCCUGGUAGCACAUAGCCUCUCAACUACUUAUUACCUUCCCUGACACAUUUGUCCAUCCUGGAUGUCCAUUGAUUCAUCAUAAAGGAUUGUCGAAAGAAUUAAAUGAG